GUCGAACGCUGGCGGCAGGCCUAACACAUGCAAGUCGAACGAGUGGCGGACGGGUGAAUACUGUAGGGGAACCUGGCUGAUGUAGGGGGAUAAGUACUGGAAACGGUAGCUAAUACUGCAUACCAUCAGAUGUGCCCACAUGUGAUUAGCUUGUUGGUGGGGUAACGGGUGACCAAGGCGACGCUCCCUAGCUGGUCUGAGAGGAUGACCGGCCAGACUGGAACUGAGACACGGGCCAGACUCCUACGGGAGGCAGCAGUAGGGAAUAUUUGCCAAUGGCGGCAAGCCUGAUGCAGCCAUGCGGCGUGUAUGAAGAAGGGCUUCGGGUUGUAAAGCACGUUCGGCAGGGAGGCGUUACCCGCAGAGGAAGCAACGGCUAACUCCGUGCCAGCAGCCGCGGUAAUUC
rnacentral:rRNA from 1 species